UGAAUGCUUAUUUGUGGUCCUUUUUAGGAUUGUCAAACCCAAAACAGAUCCACCCACUGAGGCGGCGGAGAAAAAGCGGUUCGGCGGGUGCAGCACUCAGGAAAUGAGGUGGCAAGCUAGACACACACCUACUUUGAGACAGGAAUUGUGUUGAAGAACUUCAUCACCCACCUGGUAUCCGCCAAGACAUAGCCCUUAGUGGAAUGAACUAUGGUCUCCUAAAGGCGGUUUCGUUUCAUGGGUCUGUGGAUCUGAGAGAAACAGGCGAUUGGCCCUCUCCCACGCAAGGAGAAGCAGCAAUGGACUGGGGCCUGCACCUGGGCAGGUGGGGCGUGUCUGCCUCCUCUUUCCCUCACAGACCAACCUUUGGCUUCAGUCACUUUCCAAGCCCAACCGACUGAGGCUGGAUCCCUAGGGACAGAGGAAGGGCAUUGAUUGGAAAUGAAUUGAAAGAGAGAGCUAAUCCUCUUCUCAUCUUUUCCAAGCCUUUUCCUUCUCCUGCUGGUCCAUUUUAGAGCCACGUGGUCACACGUUGGCAUCCCCACCUGAGGGCAGGGAGAGGAAAUGAGAGAUGAAACAAAACCACAGCUGUGCUAUUUAUAAGGCCUCAGGUUUAAAAAAAAAUGAUGGAUAAAGGUUGGAACU
rnacentral:lncRNA from 1 species